AUGCAGAAUGUCUUUAACCACAGCCACAAUUUAAUCUUUCAUUUCCUUCGACCCCCUUCCAAUCUCUACCUUUCCAUUCCCUCCUUUCUCUGCACAUUUCCUGCUUUUAUUUUGCCUGUGUCUUGCUAUCUCCCUCUGCAAUGUUUUGUUUUCUGUUGUGUGACAUGUUUUUGCUUUUUAAAAAUAGGUUCGUUACUCAUUUCGGCUUGUUUUCAUUCCGGCUUGUCAUCAUUCCAAAAAAAAAAAAAAAAACACCUAUCCAGAUAAAUCGCGCCAUCCGGAUGAAGUAAAGUUGAUUGUGGUUGGAUGAGAAGUAUAAACAUAUACCAUUCCGACACCCUAUUGGUUUGUACGCGAUCCAUAGCACCUGCACAUGACACAGAUCACAUCACACUCCAGUAAGGGCAUAGCCAGUGUUGGGUUCGUAUAUCAAAAAAUAUAUUUCUUAAAAGUAGGGUUGGGGUAUGGAACCGGUAUGCACCGAACCGAAUAAGGACACAGAUUCCGGUGCCUCUUAAAUGCCUGAGCGAUCGAUUGAAAUGUUUGUCCUGGUUCUCCGAAAUGUAGGCCUACACAAGAAGCUUGGGCGUCGCUAGGCUUUUUUAUAGGGGCUAUAGCAUUUAGCUCCAUAAACUGUACUCAAAUUCGCGAUCGCCUCAGAGUCAGUCCCCUUAAAUUUCAUAUGAAAAAGGCGGCAGACCGGUCUACUCUCCGUCUUUCAGCGCGCUCUUCAAUCCACAGACGGCGGUGGAGCAGCGCGAGCGCACUUAAACAGAAACAGAGGACACAAGGUUUGUGUUUAUCGAUAGAUUGUUAGAAUAUCUGUAUCUGUGCAGUUCUUUGUCAUAAAUACAAAAAGGUUUACAAAAGGUCACGAGGGAGCAGGCGGUUUCUGUAAAGUUUUUGCUUGUCACCGCUCAUCACACCACAGCUGUUCCCUCCAGCGACAAUCUAGCCCUUAACACAUAUAAACGAUCGCAUACUUCAAUUGUACUCAGGCGCGCUGGAAGCUGUUUCAUGCUGGGGGGGCUGAGGGCUGGGUUGGAAAAUAUGUGACGUCAUUAUGUUGUGACUGACGACAUUAAAUUUCUCUACUAGUCUUCUCCCCUGGCGUGAUUGUUACUGUUUUAUACACAAAAAUUGUACUUGAUGUACUUGUACUUUGAUGUUUAAUAAAAAUAAUAAUAAAAAAAAAAAAAAAAUCUCUGUACUGUUUAGGCUAUGUGUUGUAGCCAUUAAAGAAAACAUAUUUGGUUUCAUAUUUGUUUAAAUAUUAUAGGCUAAUGUAUUUUUUUUAUUUAUUUAAUCAAUGUUUAUUAUGAAAGUGAGCAUGCAGCAUGAGAAAGAUAUGAUACAUCAUGCGCAAUAGCCUAUGAAACAUGGAGUGGGUAAGACAUGAUUUUGACCACUUUAUUGAGUUUUGUUUUGUAGAAAGACUCUGUUUAAAAGAUUUUUCGUUUUUGUAUAAAUUGUAUCUUAAUUUUUGAUCAAUAUUUUAUCAACCCAUUGCCUGUAUUUAAUAAACAAGCAAAUAUAUUAGCAGACAAUGUAAUAAGGUACCGGCACAUCACUUGUAUUGCACGUGAACUGGAGGGCGCAGAAACUCAGCUUGUGCCUCACAGACAGUUUUGAGAAAUAUAGGCUAUCUAUUAUAAAAAGCUUAAAAAUGUCUACUUUUAAACGAAAAUAUUCAAAACGAAAAUAAAUAGGCUACUCUCUGAAUAUGUAGGCCUAAUCCAUAUGAAAUGUGCAUUUCUCUCUGGCGUUCAUGGCGAGUCUGCAUCGUCUUUGCAGCGACACAGAAAACACCAUUUUAUUAAUAAACAAUUAAAUGUCUCCUUGCUAUUUUUGACAAAUUCAUAAUCAUUUCUUCAGCCGGUUCUUUGUGGCAAAAUUAUGCAUGCGGUCGUGCGCUUGAGAGCGGCUAGUAAACGCCCAUUAUUCUGACGGAAGCCAAUUAUUCUGACGGUGACGGAAGCAUUCCUGAGGAGGCUAGGUUAGUCUUUUAUCAACGAAAUAUUAAAAUAAUUAAUCAUUAGUUUAUAUCUUAUACACUAUAUCUUAAUCCCACAUUAAACACAUUGUUAUGUCUGUUUUUUAUUUUUAUUUUUUUCACGUUUUUAAGUACAAUAUUAGGUUAGUCCACAGCCCCCCACCAGGGGGGGCUGAUGCUAUGACGGGGGGGGCUGCAGCCCCCGCAGCACCCCCCUUCCCGCGCCAUUGAUUGUACUUAUUUAAAUAUACUGAAUUAAAUCAUACGUACUUUAUACAUACACUACUGUGUAAAAGUCUUAGGCACGUUAGUGUUUUCACCCCAAAGAAUGGUGUUCGGACAGUUAUUUAUAUAUUUUGCUGUAGUGUGUCAGUAGAAAAUCAGUUUACAUUUCCAAACAUUCAUUUUGCCGUUGUCAGACUGCUUGUGCAUUCAAAAUCACACUAGAUUAUUAUUAAAAUUAAUGGCAAACUGAUAUUUCCUACUGACACACUACAGCAAAAGAUAUAAAUAAAUGGCUUAAACCCCUUUUUGGGGUGAAAAUACUAAUGUGCCUAAGACUUUUGCACAGUACUGUACUUUACAAACGACAUUGUUGCUACUUUAUAAAGAAUGACCAUACAGUCAUUCACAGAACUGCUUAAAGACAGUGACAGACACCACUCAUUUUAACUAAAUAUCAGAGUGAUUGACAGAGAUACAGUAGAAACAUUAUGUGUGCUUUUGUAUUAAAUAAUGACCCAGAUUGUGAAAUACAUUUAUUAGCCUUAGAGUAAGGGAAGCACAACUUGGCAAAUGAGAGCAUCCAAGGUGAAAGCUAUGGAUUUAUUUUUAAAUAUUUGUAAUGUUCUUUAUUGUUAAUCCAGUGUGGCUCUUUUUUAAGUAUCGUUUCAGGCACCGUUUAGGCACCGGUACCAUUUUAAAAGUAUCGAAAUGGCACCGGACCCUACUUAAAAGUUAUUAUUUCUCAACUACUGGCUCAUUUAUCAAAUGGGUGCUUUCUCUUCAUCCUCCGCAAAUUAAGCUACUGUAGGUAGUCCGGUAACUAGACGUUUGAAUAAAUUAGCGUUUGCGAUUGACAAUGUGAAAGUCGUGACAUUUGCCAAGUAUGUUAACCCAUACUCGGAAUUGGUGCUCUGCAUUUAACCCAUCCAAGUGCACACACACAGCAGUGAGAAGUGAACACACCGUGAACACACACCCGGAGCAGUGGGCAGCUAUAUAUCCAGCGCCUGGGGAGCAACUGGGGGUUCAGUGCCUUCCUCAAGGGCACUUCAGCUAUGGGUAUUGAGGGUGGAAGAGAGCGCUGUUCAUUCACUCCCUCCCACCUACAACUCCUGCCAGCACCGAUACUCAAACCUGUGACCUUCAGGUUACAAGUCCAACUCUCUAACCAUGUAGCGAAUACAGGAAGCUAUCGAUCAAGAAGGUAUUAGGAUUAUGAAUUAUUUUUCAUUUUUAUUUUUUGAUUAAUCACUUGGAUUAAUCAUUCAUUUUGACAGCACUAAUGUUUAUUGUAAAUAGACAACCAUACAAGGGUAAUUGUUACUAAGCCUGCCCUGGGUACACCAAUUUUCUUGUUCAUUGCCCUCGCAGAUUCCUGCAGCUAAGCUUGGAUGUACAUUAAAUACAUUCCAUUAAAGGUUAUUGAUGACAUGCCUCUGAAGUUUGACUUUUUGCACCAUUACAAUACUUAUAGGCAACUAGUCAUCAUAUCUCUAGUUCUUUAAUGUAUUUGCAUUGUACUAAAGUGUGUUCAUUUUCAAUGGGCAUAUAUGCGGCUGAAACAGGUAAUCUAGUGCAUCCCAAAUUUUUCAACAUGAAUAUUUUAAUAUAACAUUAUAGUCAUUAUGGCCUAUAGCCUUUAGAAAAAUGUUUUUUUGAGGAGGUGGGGUAGUGCACAAUAG
ensembl:lncRNA